GUGGGAAAUAUGUCGAGAAAAAAAUCUCACAUUUUCUUUUUUUUAUAUUCUCAGGAUAUCCUGAGAUGCCUAAACUAAAUUAACACUUGUUGUGAACACAUUAGAUGCAGGGAAUGGGGAGAUUCAAGGGAAUCAUAUUGCUCUGCGCCUUGAAGAAGGCGACAGGAAUCACCCACACGAUGAAGUCAGCAGAGUGUUUGAUGCUCCUUCCUUGAGUCCCACCCUUCACCUCGGACACCGUUUUCUUUCUGAGUCUGCAGGUUAAGCCGCACCCCAGGGUGAAAAUGAACAUCAUUCCGAGACUCAGAGCAGGCGUCAGGGACAGAGAGGAGCCUCAAGAGGGCGCUGCUGCCUUCAGCUUGUGGUUUGACACAAAUGUCAUCUUUCCUUCCUUCGCACGUCUCUUUGUUCCAGCCUGUGGCCUGAUCUUGUAGGGCAGUUUACUCUGCUUAACACGUGAGUCAAGAUUUUGUAGAAGAUUCCGCCAAAGACUCAACAACAUAAAGAAAUAUACCUCUCGGUUUGGAUAUCUCUCAACAAAACCUUCUACUGCUUCUCAGCCAGCCAUGCUGUCUGCUUCCUGCUCAGGACUUGUGAUCUUGUUGAUAUUCAGAAGGACCAGUGGAGACUCGGUUACCCAGACAGAAGGCCCAGUUACCCUCCCUGAGAGGGCAGCUCUGACAUUAAACUGCACUUAUCAGUCCAGCUAUUCAACUUUUCUAUUCUGGUAUGUCCAGUAUCUAAACAAAGAGCCUGAGCUCCUCUUGAAAAGUUCAGAAAACCAGGAGACGGACAGCAGAGGUUUUCAGGCCAGUCCUAUCAAGAGUGACAGUUCCGUCCACCUGGAGAAGCCCGCGGUGCAGCUGUCGGACUCUGCCAUGUACUACUGCGCUCUGAGAGACAGAGUGGGAGGGACUGCAGCGAGAGCCCAGCACAAACCCUGGGGAACGCAGGAUCCAGCAUGGCUCAGAAGGUAACUCAAGCGCAGACUGAAAUUUCUGUGGUGGAGAAGGAGGAUGUGACCUUGGACUGUGUGUAUGAAACCCGUGAUACUACUUAUUACUUAUUCUGGUACAAGC